rnacentral:lncRNA from 1 species
AAGAAAUAAUUUUGUUGACCUUCAUUUAAUAACCGACUUGCCCCAAACCCACCAUAGUAAACUGAAGUAGGAAGCUUUUGUAAUUCGUUUUUAUCUCUCUUCUUUUUCCUCUCAUAAGUCCAAGGGAAAGUGAGUAGACCUACUUCUUUUCUUAAAGAAUCCACAAGCUUAAUAUCUUGGUUCUUAAGGAAAUCUUAUGGAUCUUUAGUGUCCUUCCCUCUCAAAAUAGGCUUUAAAGAAAUCGGGACUGUCAUGAGAAGCUCGAUUCUCUAUCACACUUAAAGGAGUUGAGGAAGUCAGAUAAAUAACCAAAAGGGUAGGAUGCUGCGUUCAAGUUUUCUGUCCUCGCAAUCAAACAGGAAGAAUAGAGAGAUUAUCAGCAUUAACUGAGGGGUGCAUUUCAGUAUUAGUUUUAUCUGGACAAGCAUCAAAUAGAUUAGAAUGAGAAGGACAAGGAAUAAUGUUAGCACCCUUGUUCAUAUGGAGCUCUAGAAGAAGCAUCUUGAAUAGUCUAGGACUAAGACGUUUGUUUAGGAAUCCCCACUUUGCUUUUCAUCAACACUCUGACUAAUUUUGUCAUUCAAAGAGAGAGAACUAAACUCAG